AGGGUCCGAGUUGUAAUUUGCAGAGGAUGCUUCGGGUUCGGUUCCGGUCUAAGUUCCUUGGAACAGGACGUCAUAGAGGGUGAGAAUCCCGUAUGUGACCGGCCGCCACGCCCGUGUGAAGCUCCUUCGACGAGUCGAGUUGUUUGGGAAUGCAGCUCAAAAUGGGUGGUAAAUUUCAUCUAAAGCUAAAUAUUGGCCAGAGACCGAUAGCGCACAAGUAGAGUGAUCGAAAGAUGAAAAGCACUUUGGAAAGAGAGUCAAACAGUACGUGAAAUUGUUGAAAGGGAAGCGCUUGCAACCAGACUUGCCCGCGGGUGAUCAGCCGGUAUUCUUACCGGUGCACUCGCCCGCGGUCAGGCCAGCAUCGGUUCGGACGGCUGGAUAAAGUCCACUGGAAUGUAGCUCCUCUCGGGGAGUGUUAUAGCCGGAGGUGCCAUGCAGCCCGCCCGGACCGAGGACCGCGCUUCGGCUAGGAUGCUGGCGUAAUGGUUGUAAGCGACCCGUCUUGAAACACGGACCAAGGAGUCUAACAUCUAUGCGAGUGUUUGGGUGUCAAACCCAUGCGCGUAAUGAAAGUGAACGGAGGUGGGAACCCUCAAGGGUGCACCAUCGACCGAUCCUGAUGUCUUCGGAUGGAUUUGAGUAAGAGCAUAGCUGUUGGGACCCGAAAGAUGGUGAACUAUGCCUGAAUAGGGUGAAGCCAGAGGAAACUCUGGUGGAGGCUCGCAGCGGUUCUGACGUGCAAAUCGAUCGUCAAAUUUGGG
rnacentral:rRNA from 1 species